rnacentral:rRNA from 1 species
AUUGAACGCUGGCGGCAUGCCUUACACAUGCAAGUCGAACGGCAGCACGGGAGCAAUCCUGGUGGCGAGUGGCGAACGGGUGAGUAAUAUAUCGGAACGUGCCCAGUCGUGGGGAUAACGUAGCGAAAGCUACGCUAAUACCGCAUACGAUCUAUGGAUGAAAGCGGGGGAUCGCAAGACCUCGCGCGAUUGGAGCGGCCGAUAUCAGAUUAGGUAGUUGGUGAGGUAAAGGCUCACCAAGCCGACGAUCUGUAGCUGGUCUGAGAGGACGACCAGCCACACUGGGACUGAGACACGGCCCAGACUCCUACGGGAGGCAGCAGUGGGGAAUAUUGGACAAUGGGCGAAAGCCUGAUCCAGCAAUGCCGCGUGAGUGAUGAAGGCCUUAGGGUUGUAAAGCUCUUUUACCCGGGAUGAUAAUGACAGUACCGGGAGAAUAAGACUCCGGCUAACUCCGUGCCAGCAGCCGCGGU